CCAAAAUAUUUUGGUUUAUUGGACCAAAAUCUAUCUUUUUUUAAAAAAAAAUAAUACAAAUUUAUUUAUUUUUUUUAAAAAAUUUAAUAUUUACUUUAGUAUAAUUAUUUUUAUAAUUUUUUAUUAUUUUAAUUAAAAUAUUAAUUUAAAUGAAAAUAUUGAAUGUUUAUAUUUUUAAAUUUUUUUAAAAAUAAAUAUUUUAUUAGGCUGGUUC
rnacentral:lncRNA from 1 species